ACGGAGGGUGCAAGCGUUAUCCGGAUUUAUUGGGUUUAAAGGGUCCGUAGGCGGAUCAUUAAGUCAGUGGUGAAAUCCGACAGCUCAACUGUCGAACUGCCAUUGAUACUGAUGAUCUUGAGUACGGUUGAAGUAGGCGGAAUAUGACAUGUAGCGGUGAAAUGCUUAGAUAUGUCAUGGAACACCGAUUGCGAAGGCAGCCUACUAAGCCGUUACUGACGCUGAGGGACGAAAGUGUGGGGAGCGAACAGG
rnacentral:rRNA from 1 species